UGUCAGGCGAGGGUCAGUGGCUGGAGAGCUGCCCUAGGAGGGCACGACAAGCCCUCCAUACCAGAGAUACUACCCCUCCCUGAGCACCCCAUACACCCCAGGGUUCUCUGAAUACUAAAGGUUAAUCAGCUGGAGAGUCAACAGCCUUGAAGAUGCUUCUGGAUGAAGAUCCUUCCCCCAUCCCUGUAUCCUCCAUGCAACACAUAUCCGGAUGAUCUUCUUCUCAGAAGAUUUCAUCAACUCCUGAGUCUGAGGCUGGACUGUCUGACUGAACUUGCCCAGUGACUCUCCCAGUCAUUCAAGAUCCAUGGCAGGGACCCUCAAAGUUGAGGCUCUCCUUAUUACUGCUGAUUUCCUCCAGUUCCUUGGUAGUUUCAGCAAGUGCUUGCUGCCUGAACAAAGUGAGGGACUGGAGCACAACUGGAGAGAAUCAUGGCCAGAAUUGUAAGGGAGAAGAACUGGUCCAGAGACAAGGCUUUGUGAAGACUAGGUGCUGACUCUCAGUCAAGGGGAGGCACUGAUUUCUUCUAUUCCUGUGCUCAGAGAGGCAACAUAUUAGAAUAUGCAAAGGACCUGCCAAGAGAGAUCUCAGUUCGAGUUCUGUUUCUGACGUCCUAGCAUGGCAAGGAAAAGGCUAACCCACCAGCUGGCAGGCUGCAUCGAGAAGAGGGUGAGGCAGUGUGCUGAUGCCAGGCAUCACACAUGGGGGACAGGAGCGAGGGCCUCCCGGAGCAUGGCGACAGAAACUCCCAUGGGGAGAGGAUCGAGAUCCCGAAUCUUCAGCCAGUUCCUAUAUGGGAAGAAUAGCUCUAAAGGGCUGGUGCCCUGGUUUUCCUUCCAGAACCCACCAAGGGAUGGAUUUCCUGCUGUCGGAAUUCCUGCCACCUCUGAGGACAUUCACCCGUUCUGUGUUACUUACCCUCCUCUUUGCCCUCUCCUCCUCUCACCCCAAGCGAGAGGCUCGCCAAAUCAGUGGCCUGCUGACUCUUCUCUGAGGACCUUUGGCGUUUAAGCAGUAUGGCAGAGAAGUGUGCAAGCCACGGAGAAUGCCAGUGGAAAGCAGAGAUUUGGGCUGGAAUUCAUGCUAAGAGCGUCCCCGAGCAUUGUUCCAAGACCCAAAGCCUGGUGCCUGGUGCUCAGUAUUAGAGUUCUAGCCUGGAGUGUCUGCAAGUGCCAGGAGCCCCGGGCAUCCAGCUGGGCUUAGACAGUAAGGAGCUUGGGAAGCCUUCCGGAGAUGCUUUCCUUAGUUCUGGUCAACCUGAUUUGGGGCUUUUUGUGGGAGAGGGGCCACGUGGGAUUCCACGGGGUUUGGGGAGCCUUCUCUGCCCACCGAUUCUGAUUGGUGCAUGUUCUGCUGCCUGGCAUCCCUGAGGGGUUAAGUGUGUGACUUAGCAUCCCCCUACAUACAUAAAAUGUAUGUUGUCUGAUGUUCUCCACUUCACAGAAGAAGAGACAAUGUGCUAGAGUUAAGUGACUUACCCAAGGUCACACAGUCAGAUUUGAAAUUUGAACCCAGGCUUUCUGCCUUGAAGUCCACCAACCUUUUCAAUGGAUCAUGCUGUUUUAUUGGCAGUGUUGUGAUGAGGAGCAAACAGCUCCAACCAGAGAAUGGCAAGAGACCUGGUUACUGUUCCUGCCUCCGGCCCCACCUACCUGGACAGAAACAUUUCCCUGUCUGGCCUCAGUUACUCUCUUUGUAAAAUGAGAGGCUCUAAUUUCUAAUUAGAUUUAGGCUCUAAAUUCUCUAAUCUGAGAAAGUUUGAAUUGGGGGGAGGGGGGUCCCCAACACAUUCCCAUCUCUCCUUAACCUCUUCCCUUGAGAAUGAAGGCUUGAAGCCCUCAUUCGUCUGUUCCUCCAAAGGGGCCCCUGCAGAGAUCCCACUCUUUAGGUCUGAUGGACUUCCUUGAGGAGUGUCUCCCAAGAGAUUGUGUUAGAGUCCAAUCCGAGGCUAGGAAAGGAAGCUCCUGAGGGAGAGCCAACCUCAGAAUCGCCUCCUCCCUCCAGUAGAGAG
rnacentral:lncRNA from 1 species